rnacentral:rRNA from 1 species
UACGUAGGGUGCGAGCGUUGUCCGGAAUUAUUGGGCGUAAAGAGCUCGUAGGCGGUGUGUCACGUCGGCCGUGAAAACCUGCAGCUUAACUGUGGGCGUGCGGUCGAUACGGGCAUCACUGGAGUUCGGCAGGGGAGACUGGAAUUCCUGGUGUAGCGGUGAAAUGCGCAGAUAUCAGGAGGAACACCAGUGGCGAAGGCGGGUCUCUGGACAGUUCCUGACGCUGAGGCACGAAGGCCAGGGGAGCAAACGGG